CAUUCAAACACACGAGUCGAUGGGGGUUA
rnacentral:piRNA from 1 species